rnacentral:pre_miRNA from 1 species
CACCUACUCCCUCCGUUUCAAAUUACUCGUCGCAGAAAUGGAUGUAUUUAGAACUAAAAUACAUCUAAAUACAUCCAUACCCGCGACAAGUAAUUCGGAACGGAGGGAGUACACA